rnacentral:misc_RNA from 1 species
CAAGAAGCCGAAAGGCUACUUAAAACCAUCGCGAACUUAUCCAAGUUGCUUCGGCGGCGCGGCUCCCCUCACGGGGGACCGCAGCCCCGCCUCUCAGGAGGUAAGGGGCAGCCGCCGGAGGUACGAAACUCUGUAUUAUAGUGGUAUCUCUGAGUAUAAAACAAAUAAGUU